UACGAAGGGGGCUAGCGUUGCUCGGAAUUACUGGGCGUAAAGGGCGCGUAGGCGGAUAUUUAAGUCGGGGGUGAAAUCCCGGGGCUCAACCUCGGAAUUGCCUUCGAUACUGGAUAUCUUGAGUUCGGGAGAGGUGAGUGGAAUGCCGAGUGUAGAGGUGAAAUUCGUAGAUAUUCGGACGGAACACCAGUGGCGAAGGCGGCUCACUGGCUCGUUUCUGACGCUCAGGCGGCGAAUAGCGUGGGGAUCAAACAGG
rnacentral:rRNA from 1 species